CGAUGUCGGCUCAUCACAUCCUGGGGCUGAAGUAGGUCCCAAGGGUAUGGCUGUUCGCCAUUUAAAGUGGUACGCGAGCUGGGUUUAGAACGUCGUGAGACAGUUCGGUCCCUAUCUGCCGUGGGCGCUGGAGAACUGAGGGGGGCUGCUCCUAGUACGAGAGGACCGGAGUGGACGCAUCACUGGUGUUCGGGUUGUCAUGCCAAUGGCACUGCCCGGUAGCUAAAUGCGGAAGAGAUAAGUGCUGAAAGCAUCUAAGCACGAAACUUGCCCCGAGAUGAGUUCUCCCUGACUCCUUGAGGGUCCUGAAGGAACGUUGAAGACGACGACGUUGAUAGGCCGGGUGUGUAAGCGCAGCGAUGCGUUGAGCUAACCGGUACUAAUGAACCGUGAGGCUUAACCUUACAACGCCGAAG
rnacentral:rRNA from 1 species